CACUCAGUGUGUCAGGAAAUGAGUUCAACCAUGGAUUCGUAUACAUUGAAGUCCACAUCAGAUUUGUCUGCUCUCUGACCUGAUUGAGUGAGGGAGGAGUGCAGAGAGAAUAUGACGGAAAUUGAGGAGGAAGCCCAUGCUUGCAGAGAGUUAGUGAGAUCUGAAGCCCAUGCCUGGAUGAACUCAUUUAAUUUGAGCACACAGAGCUCAAAUCUGGUGUUCAAAAAUAAGGCGGAGGCCACAAAGUUCUCAUGUUUAAUUUUCAUGGGCCGUGCAAAAAAAUUUUGGACUUUUUGUGAUCCCACAACCCCACCCCCACAUAUAAUUGGCUUUAAAGGGUUCAGGGUUCUGUUCUUUUAUUAUUUGUUUCUCUCUUUUGGACCAAAAGGCAGAUUCUGUUCAUUAUUUCAAAGUAUUAUUAUUUUUUUUAGAAAUUUGAAAGAUUGUUUCAAACAUUGAUAUAUAAACACAGUGCAGUUUGGCAUAUCAAAUCAACCUGCAGCUUCCUUGGGACUCUAAUUCUUAGGAAUGCUCGACAAUUGGUCUUAUUAAUGGUUGUCUUCCAGAGGAAUUAAAGAAGUUCUUGGUAUAAGGAGCUAUAGCUCCAUUGAAGAAGUGAGAGGCAUACGACAAUAUUUCUUCAGUAUGGUAUGUCAUUUUAACGAUUGGAAUUCCACAAUUUGAUUAGUUUUGAUAAUUUCCGGAAGAAGAAGAAGGCCGUGUGUCUAAGUUUUAAAAAGCACACUUUGUAAUGCUUCAAAAUUUCAUGCUUUUUUCAAGAAUUCAGACAGGCAGGGUGCAGAUACUUCUAACUUUAUCAAGGUUAGUGAAUUAUGUGGUUUCUCCACGGGGUGCAGUUUUAUUGGUGCUACUGUUACGUCUCUCAUUAUUAUUAGCUUUUCUUUCUCUUUGUUCAUAUUUUUGUCUUCGAGGAUGAAUCAUUGGAAGCAUAAUAUGUUUUUGCAUCAUGCUUUUCUUUUUCCCACUAAAGUGGCAUCAAUAGUUAUUGUAUUCCUCCUCUACAUACCUCUUUAUACGAACAACUGAUGGACUUUACGGUGUACAAGCAAACUGGUUAUGAGAGUAUUAAGUGAGUUUCUAUAAGACAAGGUGAUAGAUUAGCAAGUCUGAACUCAGUUUCUUCUUACUAAUUGUGCAAUGUCUUUACAUGUUAGCUUAGUUGAAUGUAUAUAAAAGUCAAGCUGCUUAUCUUAUCGACCUCAUUCACUCAUGUGCCCUUCUGUUCAUUCAUGAUUGUGUUGAAUUUAUUCAGGUUAAAUGUGUCUUAUUCAUGUAGUUACGCCUGAAACAGUGGUUCCCGCCGCAACACGCGGGCUUAUUUUCUAGUCUUACUCUAAAUUAGUGUAAUAGUUUCGAACUCUUUUC